GUUCUCCUUCAUUGCUAAGUGAAGAAGGCGUCCUUGCGCAUUGGCUCGUGACCUGAAAUGCCCCGGCGCCUGGAACACUUCCACAGCCCACAGCUGGUUCUGGAAUAUAUUUAAAAUUUCGAAUCUUGAAAGAAGGAAAAACUAUCUUAAUGCGCCGUUAACAUCGCCCUCCUGAGGUCGCGGCCGAACUCCCACCCUGGCGAUAAUGUUGUCGUUAGGAAAGCGCAGCAGCACCAGCCCCGGAUAAACUCUGGACAGCGCCAUUUCUGAAGCCAGGCGCGGUUUAAAUGAGCCAAGCGGUGCUGGAAAGACAGUCUGUCGCCGUUGCGAUCUCCCGCGUCCUGGCGUGAGAGAGAAGAAUCUGAAACUAAUUACGAAUUCAGAAGCGGCAAGGUCCUGAAACCGUCUAAAGAGUCUGCUUUUGUAAUUGAAUUUCCAUUAGAUAACCGCCUGAGAUGGAGCGCACACAGCGGACUGGGGCGAUCUCCUGCCCAGGGCAUCCGCUUCCGAGUUUUUGAUUUGUCGCAUCUUUGCAAACGAUGAAUAACGCAAGACUCAGCGGAAGAACCCAUGUACGGUCAGAGAGAGAUAGCGAAAGUGGGAGCUGACACAUCUCCUAAAUUACUGGAACUGAAGUCCUCAAAUCCAAAUACCCAUGAGCUCGCCCUCUCCUGCAAAACAUGCCUGGAGGACAGUGUUGGAGGAGGAAUGAAUUGUACUCUCCUUCACAGAAGAAACUCCUGAGUGGUCAUCUGUCUUGCAUCCAUAUGGCAUGGGACCUCAGAAUGAGAAGACUGCUCCCAUUGGUCCACAACCACACAUCCCUGCCAACAGCACAGAAGACCCAAGAGCAUUACAGUCACCUGAGAGUCAGAGGAAGAGAAGCUGAAUCAGAGAAAAUGCACACAACAUUUCCAUAAAAUAUGCAGGCAAGAUGUCCAAAAUAGACGAUGCCAAAAUGACAAACACUGUUCUGGCAAGCUGAUACAAAGAACAGCACAACAGAAAUAGAGGGUUUAUAUAUUAGAUUUAUAUUUCAGAAAAUUCAGCCUUGACAUUUAGGAACAGACAACAUGCUGAGACCACUAUGUUAUUAGAAACCAUGUUUAACAAAUGUAAAAAAUAAAUAAUGAA